CUAUGAUGCUGCUUGGCCUGCUGUGUUCAUCCAGCCCUGCACCUUGUUGUCUCGGAUUCUCCAGCAUCUGCAGUUCCUACUAUCUCUGAUUCGUUGUAACUAGGUUGUAGCUAGUCUGGUCCAAAGGCCUGAUGUUAAUCCCCUGCUGUUCAUUGACUAAAUCCUUCGAAAUUGCAGUUGAAAUAUAAUUGUUCCAGUUCAGCUACAGGAAGCUCGUCUCAGGAAUUCAGUUUUCAGUUGCAAUCACUUAGGUCAGGUCAGGCUUGAUAUAGAUCCCAUUGAACUCAAGUUAGACUUCAGUUUCAAGACAGUGAGCAUUCUUGAUUAAUACUACUGCUGCUUAAUGACUGGCUGAAAUUGAUGAAACGUGGAAAACAUUGGAUUAUUAAUCAAGAUACAGGUGGCAGAGAUCACAAGUUUGGAAGGUGGUAUUGAAGGAGCCUUGAUGCUGCCAGACCUGCUGAGCUUCCAUUCUCUGUGGUUGGCUCAUUGGCACUCGGGCUCCCUUGAUUGACAAUUCAACAUCCAACUAGCUGCCAGCCCUGAGCAUAGCAACCACUCAGUGCCGAUUCGAUGACAGUGUCCUUAUUGUGACUGGAGUGAAGGACUGCAGAUUAGUCGAUGAAUAGGCCCACUCCUGACUUCUUGCUGAAGAUGAUGGCUCUUGAUGAAACAGCUGAAGAUAUUUGGGUUUGCAACCAAAUCCUGAGGUACAAUAAAUAGCC